GGGGAAUAUUGGACAAUGGGCGCAAGCCUGAUCCAGCCAUGCCGCGUGAGUGAUGAAGGCCUUAGGGUUGUAAAGCUCUUUUAGCAGGGACGAUAAUGACGGUACCUGCAGAAAAAGCCCCGGCCAACUUCGUGCCAGCAGUCGCGGUAAUACGAAGGGGGCUAGCGUUGCUCGGAAUCACUGGGCGUAAAGCGCACGUAGGUGGGUCGUUAAGUCGGGGGUGAAAUCCCAGAGCUCAACUCUGGAACUGCCUUCGAUACUGGCGACCUUCGAGUUCGGGAGAGGUGAGUGGAACUGCGAGUGUAGAGGUGAAAUUCGUAGAUAUUCGCAAGAACACCAGUGGCGAAGGCGGCUCACUGGCCCGAUACUGACACUGAGGUGCGAAAGCGUGGGGAGCAAAC
rnacentral:rRNA from 1 species